AAAUCAAUUGCUCUCUAGUGCGAGAGGGUAAACCAAUCCCCGACACCCAUAUGGGUCUGCUCUCCAUUACGAGAGGAUAAACUAAUUGCUCUCCAGUGCGAGAGGUAAACUAAUUCCCCGACACCCAUAUGGGUAUGCUCUCCAAUGCGAGAUGAUAAACUAAUUGCUCUCCAGUGCGAGAGGGUAAACUAAUUCCCCGACACCUAUAUGAGUCUGCUAUCCAAUGCAAGAGGAUAAACUAAUUGCUCUCCAGUGUGAGAGGGUAAACUAAUUCCCCGACACCCAUAUGGGUUUGCUCUCCAGUGCAAGAAGGCUACAUAGUUCAAAAGAUCGAAUGCUUGAAGAUCAACUAAGCAACAAAUGGUUAGGGGGCAGCAGCCACUUUUACACUUAACAGUUCACUCAUCCGACACUUUAUCUUCAGCAACUCCGAUCUUAGUAGCUUCAUCCGUGACUGCUCCAUCU
rnacentral:lncRNA from 1 species